AUGGAGCUGCUCAAGGAGCUGGUCCCCGGGUGCAGCAAGGUAUCAGGAACAGCGCUGGUACUGGAGGAGAUCAUCAAUCAUGUUCAAUCCCUUCAAAGACAAGUCGAGUACCUGUCAAUGAGACUCGCAGCAGUAAACCCAAGGGUUGACUUUGGUGGGCUAGACAACCUUUUGACUACAGAGUGUGGAAGGAUAACAGGUUUAAACUGCAAGAGUGGAAUGGACUUGGAGCAAGUCAGCUGGCCCGACAUGGGCGUCCAUGGAGCGAGAAAUCUUGCGCAGCUACAACAGCAGUUCUGGCAUGGUGAUUUAGCACAUCCACAGCAAGCAGCUUCACCGUGGGAAAAACGGGGGGACGUACAACCUCCUGUCUUUAGCAACACCAGCUCCUCUCUCUUCGGCUACGAUCUCGCAAGCUCUGGACCGCAGCAACCGCCAACAAGCAAGCUAAAAACAGAGCUGUGA
rnacentral:rRNA from 1 species